CAAACAUAGGCUGAGUUCUGAAUUUUUGGCAUCAUUACCAGUUUUGUAGUGGUAGUUAUGCACAGUAAAUAACUCAGUUAUAUUUCAGAGAGAGGGUAACUGGCUAAAGCAACAAAAAGAUGGAGAAACUGAAGCACAGAGAGGACAUACCCCAUUUCUCUUCUACCCCACUACAAAACAGCGCUGGACUGCUGCUGUGCACUGUACUUGGGGCUUCUCGAAGAUCUUUCUGAGGCUACAAGCCGUGUUGAAUGUGGUGGCUGCCCAGCUGUAAAGUGGAACAGGCUGAUAUGAACAUCACUGUAUUACCUUCCUAUAUUCUCCUGGAUGUGGUUCAGGAAGCUGAUGAUAGAAUGGUCCUGAGCUUUAGAGGCUGUCUCCAAAAUUGCCUCCCAAUAAUUUGGUUGAUUUUA